rnacentral:rRNA from 1 species
AUUGAACGCUAGCGGCAUGCCUUACACAUGCAAGUCGAACGGAGUGUCGAACGGGUGAUUAAUGUAUCGGAACGUGCCCAGUAGCGGGGGAUCACUACGCGAAAGCGUAGCUAAUACCGCAUACUUUUGGAGCGCCCGCGAUCGGAUUAGCUAGUUGGUGGGGUAACGGCUCACCAAGGUGAAGAUCUGUAGCUGGUUUGAGAGGCCGACCAGCCACACGGGGACGGAGACACGGCCCAGACUCCUACGGGAGGCAGCAGUGGGGAAUUGUGGACAAUGGGGGAAACCCUGAUCCAGCCAGGCCGCGUGAGUGAUGAAGGCCUUCGGGUUGUAAAGCACUUUUGGCAGGAAAGCGGUACCUACAGAAUAAGCACCGGCUAACUACGUGCCAGCCGCCGCGGUAAUUC